rnacentral:rRNA from 1 species
AGAGUUUGAUCCUGGCUCAGGACGAACGCUGGCGGCGUGCCUAAUACAUGCAAGUCGAGCGGAGUUGAUGAGGUGCUUGCACUUCUGAGACUUAGCGGCGGACGGGUGAGUAACACGUAGGCAACCUGCCUCAAGUCUGGGAUAACUACCGGAAACGGUAGCUAAUACCGGAUAAUUUGUUUUGCUGCAUGGCGAGACAA